AUCUCUCACGCCGAGGAAAACUACAACGGUGCCCCAAGCUGCAAAGAUAAGGGGUGCGUGUACUGCUGCGCAAGAAAAUACCGUAAAUAUUUGCGACCAGGUGACAGAUGCCGCCCCAUGUCCUGGCGGGGAAGUAUGCUGCUUGCUUAGUGGUGGAGCGUUCAGAUUAAGUCGCAAAAAUAAGAAGGCCAAGAAAAAGAAUAAACGGAAAACACCGGGAAAAACUAAGGAUGGAUCUUUGAAAAGGAAUAAGCAAAAGAAUGUCAAGAAUAAGAAGUCCAAAGUUAAAAAGAAGAAAAAGCGACAUAACUCUAAUAAAAAAGAUGAUGGGUCAAUGAAAGGUGGAGAGAAAAAGAAGACCAGCAACAAGAAGAAAACAAAGGCGCAAGUGAAGAAAAUCAAGAAGAAUCAAGACGAAGGAAGUGUGGGCGUAGUGAAGGAAAAUAAGCAAGCAAAUGCAGAUCAAAAGUUUAAUCCCGUAUGCGCUAGCACCUCAGCGUGUGCGGGAACCUGUAUCCCUGAAACUGAUAGGUGUUUCGGUAAGGAGAUGAAUACCUGCGGGCGUUGGUGUAAAUGCUGUGUGCCUAAAGGUGGUGGUGGAGGUGGAGGUGGAGGUGGAGGCGGCGGCAGCAGUAAAUGCAGAGGCAAAUGUACG